rnacentral:rRNA from 1 species
CUAUACAUGACUCUGCGCAUAUCAAUAAGCGGAGGAAAAGAAACUAACAAGGAUUCCCUUAGUAACGGCGAGUGAAGCGGGAAGAGCUCAAAUUUGAAAUCUUCAAGGUUCUACCUUGACGAAUUGUAGUUUAUAGAAGUGUUUUCUGUUAGUAGAGUGGCAAAAGUUCUUUGGAAUAGGACAUCAUAGAGGGUGAGAAUCCCGUAUUUGGUCAUUCUUUCUAGCUUUGUGAUACACUUUCAACGAGUCGGAUUGUUUGGGAACGCAGUCCAAAAUGGGUGGUAAAUUUCAUCUAAAGCUAAAUAUUGGCGAGAGACCGAUAGCGAACAAGUACCGUGAGGGAAAGAUGAAAAGAACUUUGAAAAGAGAGUUAAACAGUACGUGAAAUUGUCAAAAGGGAAGCGUUUGACACCAGUGUUGUUUUUCCGAAAAUCAAUUACGAAUGUUUUAGUUUUUGAGAAGUUAUGACUUCAUCGGCUUGCUUCUCUCUUUAUGAAACUUUCUUAAUGCACUUUUCGGUUAACAAGUCAACAUCAAUUUCUUUUGUUGUAAAAGGGUAUGAGGAAGGUGGCUUUCUUUUCGGAGAAAGUGUUUAUAGCCUUGUACCUCUGCAAUCGGAGAGAUUGAGGUCUGCAGCGUAGAUCCUUCGGGGUUAGAUACAUUUGUGCUAAGUUAUAGCUUUUCAUAGACAACUUGUUGACUAUGUUUAGUCUUGUAGCUUACUCGCUUAUGCUAUUUUACCUACGCUUAGGAUGUUGACGAUCAGCUGAGCGCG